UAAAAUCAUUGGAGAAAGGUGAAUCGCAUUGAAAUGCUGAGGCUCCAUGAGUGACAUGUGCAGCAAACUCUAUUUAGCAAGGACUGUAGGAGGGCAGCGAGAGAGAGAUGGAAGUUCAGGGCCUUGCAAGAUUGGAGAAGUUGGAGCUCACGGUGCCCUACAAAUGAAGACCUCUUACGCCUGGGAAGCUGAUGCCAGCCAGGGUGGGAAGGGCGAGAAGGCGGCGAGUGCUGUAUUGUGCUUCAGGGACCUAUGGCACAGCCAAGCAGCUUCCCAGCGUGGAGUCCUGCCCUCGGGACCUGUUGCUGCCCAGGCAGUGGGAAGGAAGUACGGCUCCUGUAAUUUGCAUCCAGAUAUCAGGAAGCGAUGCGUUAUGAGAACAUCUCAUCUACCGCCAGGGAUGAACCCGCAGAAAUCACUUAUACCAACAGAUUCACAGGUUGGCACCCCAAGCCCCAUCAGCAGCCGUCCGAGUGGCCCCGCUCCUGCUCGCCGCGGGCACCUUCGAGGAGCAAAGCUCUUCUCUGCAACGAGACGUGAGCAACCCGAGUGGGAAAGCCGAUAGCUCAUGCACUAGACAUACCUGAGAGUACAAGUCUUCUAUCAGAU
rnacentral:lncRNA from 1 species